rnacentral:rRNA from 1 species
GGCAGCAGUGGGGAAUCUUCGGCAAUGGGCGAAAGCCUGACCGAGCAACGCCGCGUGAAUGAUGAAGGCCUUCGGGUUGUAAAAUUCUGUUAUAAGGGAAGAACGACUUUAGUAGGAAAUGGCUAGAGUGUGACGGUACCUUAUGAGAAAGCCACGGCUAACUACGUGCCAGCAGCCGCGGUAAUACGUAGGUGGCGAGCGUUAUCCGGAAUUAUUGGGCGUAAGGAGCGCGCAGGUGGUUGAUUAAGUCUGAUGUGAAAGCCCACGGCUUAACCGUGGAGGGUCAUUGGAAACUGGUCGACUUGAGUGCAGAAGAGGGAAGUGGAAUUCCAUGUGUAGCGGUGAAAUGCGUAGAGAUAUGGAGGAACACCAGUGGCGAAGGCGGCUUCCUGGUCUGUAACUGACACUGAGGCGCGAAAGCGUGGGGAGCAAACAGGAUUAGAUACCCUGAUAGUCCACGCCGUAAACGAUGAGUGCUAAGUGU